ACCAACAGCAACCAUGAGCUUCAUCACCAUCUUCAUCUGGAUGUUCACUAGCUACUGUUUCACAGAAUCAGCUGGUGAAGUGACAGCCACUCAGACGCCUGCAGUGAAAUCUGUUCGUCCAGGAGACACAUUUACCAUGUCCUGUAAAACCAGUACUGAAGUUUACCAAGGUUGGGGUUAUCAGCCUUUAGCCUGGUACUUACAGAAACCUGGAGAAGCUCCUAAACUCCUGAUUUAUAAAGCAAGCACCCUCCAGUCAGGAACUCCAUCUAGAUUCAGUGGCAGUGGAUCUAACAGUGAUUUCACUCUGACCAUCAGUGGAGUCCAGACUGAAGAUGCUGGACAUUAUUACUGUCAGGGUCGCCACAGUGGUUAUGUGUUCACACAGUGAUAAAGAGUCGUACAAAAACCUCCGUCAGUCAGAGUCACAGUGACUGAACUGAUACUGCAGCUGCUCACACACUUUCACACACUUUCACACACACUCAACAGUGCAGAAACACAAAUAUGAUCUUAAUAUCAGCUUUGUUGAGCUUCAUCAGUAUUUCUUCAGAUAAAUAGAAAUUCUUUUGAUGUUUUCAUAAUUUUUUAGAUCAUUUAUGGUUUAUUUAUCCUCAUUUCCACUCACUCAAUAUUUUAAAGUCAUUGAUAUUUUUGAUCAUGUACUUUUAUUAUUUUUUCUUCCUAAUCUUAGUUAUACAGUAAAGAUCUGAGGAACUGAAGCUGUCGAUCACACAGCGAGAGUUUAUCUGGACACUUCCCAAAACUCCUGUUAUAAUCAGUGACGCUCUUACACUACACAAUCAAUCUCUGACUGGAUUUACAUCGUGUUUGAAUUGUUAGUUAUGGUGAAAGCAUUUCUGGAGUGCAGAAAUUUAGUUGUAAUGACGAGAUCACUGCAUUCACACCAUCAACAGACUGUCUGUCAUCUGCUCAGUUUCUCAUCACUGCAACCUUCCCUGUGAUGAACAGAUCUAAAUAUAAGGCAAUAAUCAACACUUUUCACCAUUCGUUCAUUUAGACAGCUGUAAUAGUAAAAAU